AGAGUUUGAUCCUGGCUCAGAUUGAACGCUGGCGGUAUGCUUAACACAUGCAAGUCGAACGGAAACGAAACUAGCUUGCUAGUAGGCGUCGAGUGGCGGACGGGUGAGUAACGCGUAGGAAUCUGCCUGAUAGUGGGGGAUAGCCCGAAGAAAUUCGGAUUAAUACCGCAUAAUCUAUUCGUAGUAAAGUGGGGGACUUUCGAGCCUCACGCUAUCAGAUGAGCCUGCGUAAGAUUAGCUUGUUGGUAGGGUAAAAGCCUACCAAGGCAACGAUCUUUAGCUGGUCUGAGAGGAUGAUCAGCCACAUCGGGACUGAGACACGGCCCGAACUCCUACGGGAGGCAGCAGUGGGGAAUAUUGGACAAUGGGGGCAACCCUGAUCCAGCAAUACCGCGUGUGUGAAGAAGGCCUGAGGGUUGUAAAGCACUUUCAAUUGUGAAGAAAAGUUAACGGUUAAUAACCGUUGACCUUGACGUUAACUUUAGAAGAAGCACCGGCUAACUCCGUGCCAGCAGCCGCGGUAAUACGGAGGGUGCAAGCGUUAAUCGGAAUUACUGGGCGUAAAGCGUGCGUAGGCGGUUUAUUAAGUCAGAUGUGAAAGCCCCGGGCUUAACCUGGGAACUGCAUUUGAAACUGGUCAACUAGAGUAUGGUAGAGGAAAGUGGAAUUUCUGGUGUAGCGGUGAAAUGCGUAGAUAUCAGAAGGAACAUCAAUGGCGAAGGCAGCUUUCUGGACCAAUACUGACGCUGAGGUACGAAAGCGUGGGUAGCAAACAGGAUUAGAUACCCUGGUAGUCCACGCCGUAAACGAUGAUAACUAGCCGUUGGGGGGAUUUACCCUUUAGUGGCGAAGCUAACGCGUUAAGUUAUCCGCCUGGGGAGUACGGCCGCAAGGCUAAAACUCAAAGGAAUUGACGGGGACCCGCACAAGCGGUGGAGCAUGUGGUUUAAUUCGAUGCAACGCGAAGAACCUUACCUGGUCUUGACAUCCUGCGAACUUUCUAGAAAUAGAUUGGUGCCUUCGGGAACGCAGUGACAGGUGCUGCAUGGCUGUCGUCAGCUCGUGUCGUGAGAUGUUGGGUUAAGUCCCGUAACGAGCGCAACCCCUAUCCUUAUUUGCCAGCACGUCAUGGUGGGAACUAUAAGGAGACUGCCGGUGAUAAACCGGAGGAAGGCGGGGACGACGUCAAGUCAUCAUGGCCCUUACGACCAGGGCUACACACGUGCUACAAUGGGAAGGACAAAGAGCCGCGAAGCCGCGAGGUGUAGCUAAUCUCAGAAACCUUUUCGUAGUCCGGAUUGGAGUCUGCAACUCGACUCCAUGAAGUCGGAAUCGCUAGUAAUCGUAGAUCAGAAUGCUACGGUGAAUACGUUCCCGGGUCUUGUACACACCGCCCGUCAUACCAUGGGAGUGGGUUGCACCAGAAGUGGCUAGUCUAACUUAGUGAGGACGGUCACCACGGUGUGAUUCAUGACUGGGGUAAAGUCGUAACAAGGUAACC
rnacentral:rRNA from 1 species